rnacentral:rRNA from 1 species
AGCGUUGCUCGGAAUUACUGGGCGUAAAGGGAGCGUAGGCGGAUAGUUUAGUCAGAGGUGAAAGCCCAGGGCUCAACCUUGGAAUUGCCUUUGAUACUGGCUAUCUUGAGUAUGGAAGAGGUAUGUGGAACUCCGAGUGUAG